UUAACACAUGCAAGUCGAACGCACCUUCGGGCGAGUGGCGGACGGGUGAGUAACGCGUGAGAAUCUGCCCUCAGGAGGGGGAUAACGGCUGGAAACGGCCGCUAAUACCCCAUAUGCCGCGAGGUGAAACGAGUUUUCGCCUGAGGAUGAGCUCGCGUCUGAUUAGCUAGUUGGUGGGGUAAGAGCCUACCAAGGCAUCGAUCAGUAGCUGGUCUGAGAGGAUGAUCAGCCACACUGGGACUGAGACACGGCCCAGACUCCUACGGGAGGCAGCAGUGGGGAAUUUUCCGCAAUGGGCGAAAGCCUGACGGAGCAACGCCGCGUGAGGGAUGAAGGCCUCUGGGCUGUAAACCUCUUUUCUCAAGGAAGAAGAUCUGACGGUACUUGAGGAAUAAGCCACGGCUAAUUCCGUGCCAGCAGCCGCGGUAAUACGGGAGUGGCAAGCGUUAUCCGGAAUUAUUGGGCGUAAAGCGUCCGCAGGCGGUCUUGAAAGUCUGUUGUUAAAGCGUGGAGCUUAACUCCAUUUCAGCAAUGGAAACUAGAAGACUGGAGUGUGGUAGGGGCAGAGGGAAUUCCCGGUGUAGCGGUGAAAUGCGUAGAUAUCGGGAAGAACACCAGUGGCGAAGGCGCUCUGCUGGGCCAUAACUGACGCUCAUGGACGAAAGCCAGGGGAGCGAAAGGGAUUAGAUACCCCUGUAGUCCUGGCCGUAAACGAUGAACACUAGGUGUCGGGGGAAUCGACCCCCUCGGUGUCGUAGCCAACGCGUUAAGUGUUCCGCCUGGGGAGUACGCACGCAAGUGUGAAACUCAAAGGAAUUGACGGGGGCCCGCACAAGCGGUGGAGUAUGUGGUUUAAUUCGAUGCAACGCGAAGAACCUUACCAGGGUUUGACAUCCUGCGAAUCCCUUGGAAACGAGGGAAUGCCUUCGGGAGCGCAGAGACAGGUGGUGCAUGGCUGUCGUCAGCUCGUGUCGUGAGAUGUUGGGUUAGGUCCCGCAACGAGCGCAACCCACGUCUUUAGUUGCCAGCAUUCAGUUGGGCACUCUAGAGAGACCGCCGGUGAUAAACCGGAGGAAGGUGUGGAUGACGUCAAGUCAUCAUGCCCCUUACAUCCUGGGCUACACACGUACUACAAUGCUACGGACAAAGGGCAGCAAACUCGCGAGAGCUAGCAAAUCCCAUAAACCGUGGCUCAGUUCAGAUCGUAGGCUGCAACUCGCCUACGUGAAGGAGGAAUCGCUAGUAAUCGCAGGUCAGCAUACUGCGGUGAAUACGUUCCCGGGCCUUGUACACACCGCCCGUCACACCAUGGAAGUUGGCCACGCCCGAAGUCGUUACUCCAACCCUUGUGGAGGAGGACGCCGAAGGUGGGGCUGAUGACUGGGGUGAAG
rnacentral:rRNA from 1 species